rnacentral:lncRNA from 1 species
UAAAUCCUAGAGCAGCAAACAAGAUUGUCACAACUGCCAUCCCAAGGAUCUGAACUCCAUCCCCAACCAUAAUACACAAAAGAGUAGGGUUGGAUGGGGCACGGAAAACAUCUCCAACAACUAGCUUCCAACCAGAUAACUCCUCAUUCAUCUGUGCUUGGGCCUCCUUGACUAGUUCCUCAUACCCAGUCAGAUCCCGCCUAAUGGUCCUUGAGAAGAUCACAAGGACUAUACCAGAGAGGAAAGUGAUCACCAUAAGAGAAUUCAGGAUCGAGAACCAACGGACUUUGGAUCCCUCCAUCUUCAAAUAAGCAUCCCAACGUGAUGACCACUCGAUAUCACUCUCCUCAAAAGCAACCUCAUAGGUGAAGGCAAUCGGCUCGCCUUCCUUGACAGGCAUUGACACGGUAGCCGACUUGCAUUCGAUUGGGGAUGGGUACUUUUCAUACAUUUUCAAGUUCUUAACCAAGUUACCAUUAUGAAUGACACUGCAAGGAACCACCUCAAACCCAACAACCAUAUACCCAGGCACAUUCGAUCCCCCAUUGCCAAUAGUAGGGACAACCUCAGCAUCCCCAGUUCCCAUCACACGUGCCACAUUCGCUUCCUCAUACUUAUGAACAAGCACCUUAAAUUUUAAAUGAUUAAAGACAUAAUACACAUCCUGAACCUUAACCCCAACAGGAUAUCCGUUCACCUCAAUAUAAAGCCCUCUUCGCUAACAUACCUUAUCGCAGGCAACUUAUCGAGAAUCAAGUUAACCUGAUACAUCUCAUCAAUCCUCUUCUUCAACAACUCAAAAUCAUCAGCCGAUAGCAUAUCGGAAUGACACAAGAAGAUCUCGGUCUCAUUAGUGUACAUCUUAAACUUAUAUGGUGAGUUCUCGAUCCGAUCUCCCAUGAGAAGCUCACCAAGAUUCUCAGCACUAUCCUUAAUACCCUCCAUAGGCUUACAAAAGGGUAAACUAUAAUAGCUAAAGGGCAUCACUGUGUCAAUGGAAGUUAGGGAAUUCACUUUGACAGAUAAAGGGUCCCCAACCACAUAUUUGUUAGGGAAACUACCAGGCAGAUAAAAUCCAUAUCCAGAUUGAAAUAUCAAGCAAAUUGUCAAUACCCAGAUCCCAAAAUUACCCAUUGAAUUCAAAUUUUGUCAGAACUGGAAAACCCAGAUCGAGAAGGAGUUUAUAAGCAAAGAUUUUGGUGAAUUUCGAUAUGGGUUUUGAGUAAACAAAGGGUUAUAGAAAAAAUCUAGCAGUAAGAAAUUAUGUAAAGGAAGAAUGGAUCUGACUGACCUUUGUAAGGGGAAUUAGAAAUGCCUGAGAGAAAGAAUCCAAGUCUCUAUUUGAAGUCCGAACAUAGACGUUUUCAUAUUGUUGUUUUUUUCUUUUCAAACCAACUGAAAUUUCGAGAGAAAGAAGGUAACAACGGAAAGCACGAUAAGGGUCCAUCUAAGAGUCUCUAUGAAGUUGAAGUCCAAACAUAGAGGUCUUCAAAUUAUUUGUUUUUUCUUUUCAAACCAACUGAAAUUUCGAGAGAAAGAAGUUAGCAACGAAAGCACCAUAAGGUGUCUAUCUAAAAGUCUCUGAAGAAAUUUGAAAUCCAAGAGAUCUUCAACUUAUUGUUUUUUUAUUUAAAACCAACGGUUGAGAGAAAGAAAGUAGCAGCGUGCUGACGGUGUUUUCUUAGGUCUUAGCUAAGAGAAAGGAAAUGAGGUUUGAUGGAAAUACAGCUGUAACCUGUACUAGAAAGUCCGGUUGGAGGGUAUUAGAGUUGUUAUUUUGAGAUGCCUUUUGACGCUCAAAUUAGUGUGUCGUUUGUGGGCAGGGUUAGUAAGUACGGUAAGAUAAGAAAGAUGAAAUAAAUAAUAAAGUGUGUAAGAAAAGUUAUUUUAGAAAGAGAUUUAGCUUUUUCCUUUAUGCUAUGUACCCGAUUCUCUUUUAUCUCUUGUGUGACACAAAAAUGAUUUGAUUGAAACGAUAAUUAAAAAAAUAUGUGUGGAGUUUAUUAAAGAUUUAUGUGAACGAAUAUCAAUUAUAAUGAAUAAUUUCAAACAAACAUGAAUUAUAUUUAAUAAUAUUAAAAUGAUAUUUAAUGAUUGAGAACAAGUUAACAGCCUCUUAUUUAAUUUCGAAAUGAUUGACUCGAUAAGUGUAACCUCGAGCAAGCCCUUCGUUUGGUCGAUGGCUAUAUGUCUCCUUAAAGCAGGUGACUGACUAUUUGGGAGCGCCUUGCCUAGGCGACGUAAGGGUCUUGAUGCGUUGAUUGAGCCCUAGCUGUUGAACAAUUGCUUUAGGUAUAACAAUUGUCACGAUUCAAAAAUGACCGUCUUCAAAUCAUUAUCCAAAGCCUGCCUGGGAAGAGAAGACAAACAGGAUUGGACAACAGUGCUUUGGCAAGUAUGGUUUGAUGAUGUGUCCUGCUGAGGAGGACAUGAGCGUCUUUGGUGAGUAGUUGUGCUAAAGUAUUCCUGUGAAAGAAGCAGAUGCUUAGGGUGAGCUCUUUAUUGCUAACGUGUCAUGCUAGAGAGCAAUGAAUGAUUGUCUUUGGACAAGUUGAAGAAUUGGUAGAAUCACAAGGACUGAGGACCUAGAAAAAUUUUUUAUACUUAUCAUUGGAGCGCGCGUGAUCAGGACACGUCUGAUGAGGCGGUAUGUUGUACCCGCCGGCUCUUUUGAGGUAAGCAUAGGGACAGGCCACAUGUUAUGUUUUGAGUGGAAGAUUGUCAAAUAGAUUAAAUGGGUGCAUUUUUUCAGAGUGCACCGCUUUUAGGAGGGAAUUAUGUGUUAUUUGACAAGUAGUAUUCGAAUGGACUCUACAAGGGUAUUGGUUUUUUAUUCUUUCAGGGUUAUUUGAAACGAUUUAGAUAGAUAGCGUUCUAAAAGCGUCGUUUCGUCUUCCAAUCUUUUUUGAAUUGGGGUAGUUUCAUGUUUGCCCUUUGACUGAAUAUAAAUAAAGUGACUUGGGAAUUUUUUGAACCGUCAUUUGUGCCAUUUGCUUUCUGAAAGGGUAUUAUUUUCGUACUUCUUGCCUGUUCGCUGUCUUCGCAUACUUCCAGAGUGUUUUUCUAGGUAACGCUUUUGCGUUUUUGUUUUGUUUAAUACCUACAUUUGUAUUCUUGGGAAAAGUUGGGUUAUGGUGUGAGAGAGGCAUAUCGUAUUUGAAAGUUCUGAUAAUAAAAGGGAUAGUAAGGUUUCGACUACCCGUGCCAGUGGUCGAGAUAAGGGGAAGAUAUUAAGAGGGUCCCUGAAAAGGCUGGUGAUAGCGAAUUAAGGGGCCGCCAUGGCUAAAGAAGUCAGGCUGGUAGUAGUUGCGGCGGCGACAUAAUGAUAGGGGAGAGAGGAAUUUUUCAGACUGACGAAGACGGUCUCGUCGUUGAGCAAAGGAGAGAGAGAUGGGAUAAAAGGAAAGGUGUGGUUGUGGAGGAGCCUACGGGGCCCAAGGAUUUACCACCUAGUUGCUAGCCGGCUGAUCGUCAUCCUUGUCGCACUACCCGUGCGAUGAUGGAUCGCGAGUUGGACCGUUCGUUAUUCAACUACAAAAAUCCUAGUAUGAGAUUUCUUUACCUCAAGUAGGAUUCAUUGUAAGUCGAGUGAGGCCAUUAGAGAAAAUGGCAGGGUUCUUCCUACAUAAUUUUCGCUACGGGUUCCAUCUGCCUUUGAACUCUUUCUUCCACCUUUUAUUGGGUGUGCUCAAUGAAGUUGCUAAUCAAUUCGCACCAACCAUUUGGGUUAUUUUAGUAACAUAUUUGAUUUAUUGUAAAAUAGAGAAAUGGAUGCCCUCGGUGAAUGUCCUUCAGGGGAUGUACUUUUUGUGGGCGCAGGACAGAACAAUUAUAGUGGACUUGCUUUCUAAUGUUUAUACUUAUCCCGAUCAGUUUGUGGUAGCAUACCUCAAGAUGGAAGGAAUGAGGUUUCCUUUCAAGAUUAGGUGGUCGAAUGCCAGCCGUUUGGUGAGAGAAUUGCCUGAGUUGAGUGGUGAUAAGAUAAACAGGUGCAGGCACUGAAGAAAGUGAAGCUCUUUUAUAAGGAAUUGGCCACUGUUGAAAAUGUUUGUGACUAUUGUGCUGUAAUCAUGGUUACCAUUGUUAAUAAGAAGUUUACUGAGAGGAAGACUCAAGAGAAAGGUAAAGCCCAGGAUAAAGGUGCAGAGGCCGAUCUGAAAGGUCAGAGAUGUUAGUUGUAUUGUUAAAUUAUUGAUUCUGUGAUUGUGUUUGUGUUUGUGAUGCUGAAACUGUUAUGUUUGUUGAGUUACACUAUUUGUAUUGUGACUAUUGUUGUCUCUUGCAGUGAAGAGAAUGGCUGUGAAAGGAAAGAGUUCCGAUGAGCCAGAGGCUCAUCCAAGGGGCUCUCGUGUUCUGGCUGCGGAGCAAGUUUCGAAGGUUGUUUUACUUCGGUUACUGUAUCUCCUGUAACAGUACCUUGUCACAUGUCCAACUUAAGCUCUGAUUCGUAUAGUUUUAAGAUCCAAAUAUACAUUUAUCCGACGUUUUGAAUCAAUCUAUUUAUUAUAAUUCACAUAUUUGUGAGGUGUUGUUUAUUUUGAUCACUCUUAUCUCAUAAUUUUAUCUUACAAAAAAAUUUUUAAAAAAAAAAAUAAUAUGAAUUUUUUUAUACCCAAUAAUUUUUUUUUGUAUGUUUGACGUGAGAUUCAAAGUUAUUUUUUUAGAUCCGUGACACCUGCCUCAUCUCCUUUAUUGUCCACUCUUGUACCACCUAUUUCUGUGUUAGUUCUUGUAUCGCCAAUCUGUGCACCAACUUUUAUAUCUAAGGUUGAGGAGGCGGAGGGAAUUAAGGGAUGAAGCGUGGGAGGGAGAUUAAUAGAAGGGGUAGUGCGGCGUGCCAAAUGGCUAUGUCCUCUCUGAAGUUUAUUCCUGUUUUCGUGACUGACUAGAAUGUUCAUGGACUGAUUCUAAUUUUUGCUUCUUUGUUUUGUAGAAAUGGAUCUUACUUUCAAGCUUCGUAUGGUCCUUCGUCAAAAAAGACAAAAGACCAAAAGGUUUUCAGUUGCUAGUCCACCUUCUACCAAGAGACCUAUAAUUAGAGGCUUUGGUUCAUCCAUGCCCGUCCUACCUCCUCCACCUCUUGUUCUUUUUACUUCGAAUGUUGCUCCAACUGUUGCCAAGAGUCCUCUGCUCCUAGUGGAAGUGUCUGUUUGUCCCUCAAUGAAGGUUCCUAUUAGUUUAUCGUCUGCUGCCCUAGUAGUUUCUACUGUUAUGGCUCCUACGUCUACUCUAAAUUCCAGUUCCGUUCUAGUUUCUCUGCCUCCGUCAUUGAUGACUGAUGCUACUUCCAUGACUCUAGAGGAUGGGUCGGCUAAUUUAAUGGCAGAACAAUUCGAGGCAGGUUUUAGAAUACAUGCUCUACUUUUCAGAUACACUGUCGAGAGGUUGGACAAAGUAGUUUCUAUGAAUCUUGCUGUUGUGUUUGAGAGGCCUAGGACUUUGUUACCUACUGACGCCUCUUGUGUGUAGGUUGUUACCAGUUUGUCCAAUUCUACUAAAUAUAGGGUCCAGCAGUUCCCGUUGCUCUGUAAUGCAAAAAAAAACUCUCCCUGGUUGUUAAGGUAAUACUCGUGUUAUUGAAGUAAUGUUGGUUAUUGUCUCUAGUUCAGGGGCUAACUUUUUGCUAUUGUCACGCUUUAUGUAGUCUUUAGCCACCGAAGUGGGUAUUUAUGAGCAGGUUAAGGAGCUAGUAGGUCGUUUGAAUUCUCAGAGGGAAGAGUUGUUGGCCUAGCGUCAAAGGAUUGUCAAUCUAACUAUGUUGGUGGGGGAAAGGGACCGUUCCAUUGAGGGUCUUGAGACUCAUAAUGCUUCCUUGAUAAGGGAGAUGGACACGAUGAAGGCUAGAACGAGGGAGGCCACAAGAAAAGCUUCAGCCUUUGACCAACUCCUGAAUACCAUUCUUGCCCGCUUUAAGGAUAUAAAAGAAGAAAGGGAAAAAUUAAAAGCAGAACAUAUAGAGGCUAUGGCUUGGGUGGACCUGGCAGAAAAAGGAAAGGAGAAGGCCUCUACUAAAAACAAGCAGGCAUUAGAAGAAAGUAGACGAGCCUUAGUUAAGAAAGGUCAAGCCAUUGCAGAUAGAGAUAAGGUGCUCGCCCGUACGUCGUAAGAGCUUGCCAAACUGAAAGCUAAACUAGAAAAUGAGAGAGCAGAGUCUUCUAAGAGAGCUAAAGAAUAAGAUGUUGAGUGGACAAUGGUGUGCAUGCGACGACCCGAAACUCAAUUUUCAGGCUCACGUGACUUUAAGAUUAGAUAUAGACUCAUUCAGUAUUCUAAAUCAGUUUAAUUAUCAUGAUUUAUAUUUUUGUAAGGUAUUAUUCAGUCUUUUUUGAUUUUACAGUUUUGUUUCACAAAAAAUAUUUUACAAAUUUGAAGGUGGUAUGAAUUUUUAUAUCUCAUGAUCGAUUUUAAUAUACAACUGAUAUAGUAUUUAUGAUUCUUUUUUAAGAUCGUGACAUUUUCGGGGGCACAUCGCUAAUAUCUUAGAACUAAUUUUGAUAUCAUUUGUUACGAAUUGAAACUCAACCUCUAGGUUCAUGUAGCUUUAAGACCCGAACAUAAAUUCAUCCGAUAUUUCAGAUUGAUUUAAUUGUCACGGUUCACAUCUUAUAAAAUAUUAUUCGUUUCGAUUUUUUUUUGGUUUUAUUAUUUUUUUCACAAAAAAUAUUUCAUAAAUUAAAGAUAAGGUGAACUCUUAUAUCUUAUUAUCAAUUUUAAUAAACAAUUGAUGUGAAAUUUGUUAUUCUUCUUUAAGACCGUGUGAGUAUUCUCGGAGAGCCAAAAAAUAAGAUGCUGAGUGGACAAUGGUGUGCAUGAAUACUGGGUUGCAGUAUAGAUCGUCCACACUGUAUCAAGUGAAGCAUCACAUGGGACCCUUAGAUUUAAAAGGAAUAGACUUUGCAGAACUGAAGGCGCCUUCAGAGUGCUUUGACGUGGAGUAUAUCGAGGAUCUAUCUCCUCUAAAGGGAUUAGGGGCCUCCAUGAGGUUGUCUACGAAGCCAAUUGUUUUUGCUGCAAGUCCAGAUUUGAAUGUUAUUCCUCUCCCUACCGAUGAUGGUGAGGCAUCAAGACAAUGGAAAGCAUGAUAAUAAAAUUAUUUAAUUAUCAUUCUCACAAGUUUUUUGGAUAUUUAUUUAAUAAAUUAUAAAACUUACCAAAAAUAAAUUUUUAAAAAAUUUUAUAACUUUUCAUAAAUUCAUUUUCGUAAAAAAAUUUAUAAAACUUUUAAGGAAAAUUAUAAAAAGGGAUUUUGUUAAAGAUUUUUAUUAAUUGAUGUAAUAAAAAUUAUUAUUAAAAAUAAUAAAUUUUAAAAUUAAUAAAAAAGAGUUAAUUUUAUUAUUUUAACUUUAAAUAAAGAAUAAAACCUUAUAAGACUUUAAUUAAAUAUUUCAUUUUUUAAUAUUACGAGAGAUGAUAAAGGAACUAACAUAUUUUAUCAAUAUUUGAAAGUUAAAAUUUUUUGAAAUUAUACAAAUAAUACAAUUGAAUAUUAUAUAAUUUUGUUAAAAUCUAAUAUAUUAACUAAACAAAUUCAUCAUAAUAAAUAGAUGGAGAGAGUUCACCAAAAAGUUCAAUUUAGUUAAAACUAUUAAAAUAUUUAAUAGUUGAUAUCAAGAAAAAAUAUUUAUUAAAAAAGUAAUAAUAAAAUUUAAAUUUAUAAAAAUUUACAUAUACUAUUUUAUCAAGAAAAAAUAUUUAAUAAUAACUUUUUAUUACAUUAAUUAAUAAAAAUUUUUAAUAAUUUUUUUUAUAUUUUUUCUUAUAAUUUUAAUUUUCAACUUUCAAAAACAUGAAUAUUUGAAAAGUUCUAAAAUAUUUCAGAAAUUCAUUUAUGGUAAGUUAUAAAUUUUAUAAAAAUAUAUUUUCGAUAAGUUAUAAAAUUUACCAAAAAUCCAUAUUCGAAUAUAGAUAUAAAAAAUUCGUGAAAAUGGUAUUUAAAUAAUUUUUUUAGAGUUAAAUACAUAUUUGACCUCUAAAUUUUGUACUUUUGGUUAAAUUGGUAUCUAAAGAAUUUUUCUGCUAUAUUGGUACAUAAACUUUCAAAUCAUUAUUACGUUGAUAUUUUUUACUAAUCUAAAUAUUCAAUAAGAUUUUGACAUAUAUCAAAAGUUCACUCAGCAUUUCAUCAUCAUUGAGAUGUUAUGCUAUGUGAUCUUUAAAACAAAACUUCAAAAAAAAUAAAAAAAUUCUAAAAAUUUUUAAAAAUUAUAAAAGAAUUUAAAAAAAUAACAAAAGUUCAAAAAAUUAAAAAAUUUAAAGAAAUUCUAAAAUUUUUCUAAAAUUUCUAAAAAACUUUUUUAAAAAAAUUAAAAAUUCAAAAAAAAUUGAAAACUUCAAAUAAAAAGUCUAAGAAAUUCUAAAACUUUUUCAAAAAAAUAAAAAAUAACAAUUUUUAAAAAUAAUAAAAAAUUUAAAAAGCCUAUAAAAAUUAUGAAAUUUUUUUAAAAAUUCUAACAAUUUUCAAAUAUUCAAAAAUAAUUUUAAAAAACUUAUAAAAUUUUCAAAAAAUUAAAAAUUUAAAAAAAUUUCAAAAAAAUUUAACAAAUUCUAUAACUUUUAAAAAUUUUAAAAAAUUAAAAUAUAAAAAAUUAUAAAAUUAUAAAAAAUUCAACAAAAUUCUAGAAAAUUUUUAAAAAUUCAAAAAGAAUUAAGGAAACUUAAAAUUUUUCAAAAAAUUACAAAUUUUAAAAAAUCCAAAAAUUUUAAGAGUUUUUUUUUUGUUUUUAUUUUUUUAAUUUUAAAGAAUAUUAAAAACUUUUGAAAUUAUUUAAUUUUUCAAAACUUUUUAAUAGUUUUUAGAUUUUUUUUAUUUUCAAUUUUUGUAUUUUUUUUAAACUUGAAUAAAAUUUUAAUUUUAUAAAUUUUAACUUUUUGGAAUUCUUUUCUAUUUUUAAAAUUUUUUUUAAUUUUUAAAAUUUUUAAAAUUAUGAUAAUUUCUGUAAUUUAGAAAAAAAAUAUUUCUUAUUUUUAAUUUUUUAUAAAUUUUAAAAUUUUUAAAAAAUUUUGUAUAAUAUUUAGCAUUUUUUUAGAAUGGUUUAGAAUUUUUUUAAUUUUUUGAGAAAUUUUAAAAAAUUUUGCAUACAAAAAAUUUUUUUUUAAAUUCUUUUUAAAAAUUUUUUUAGCAUUUUUUAAAUUUUAAAAAUUUUCAAAACUUUAGAAUUAUUUUUAAUUUUUAUAAGUUUUUAAGAUUUUUUUGAAUUUUUUUGAAUUUUUUUAAAUUUUUUUUAGAAAUUUUUAAAAAGUUUAAAUUUGUUAAAAAAUUAAAAAAAAUAGAAUAUUUUAAAAUAUUUUAAUAUUUUUGAGAAUUUUUUUAAUUUAAACAAAAUUUUCUUUUAAAUAUGACAUGGGCAUGAUGUAGUAUUGAUAAUAUGACGCUAAUUAAACUUUUUUAGACACAUGUCAGCUUGUUGUUGGAUAUUUAUGUUACGUCAAUAAAAUGACGAUUAGUCAAAAAUACUAAUAUGAUAACAAUUUGAAAAUUUAGGUAUCAAUGUGAUAAAAAAAAUUUUAGGUAUCAAUGUGAUAAAAAUUAUAAAAUUGGAGGGUCAAAUAUAUAUUUAAUCUUUUUUUUCACAAAAUAUUUUAAAAAAGAAAAAGUGAGGUGUGAAGAGUAAAAAUGAAGGUAUUUAGAACCUUUUUUUUUUCUUUUUCUUUUGGCUUUAUUUGGUAUUUGACUAUAAAGCUCCUAUUUAUUUAUUUAGAUGUAAAAAUUAAUUUCAACUUAAUAGUUGAUGUAUAAUUACUAUAGUUAGUUUUAUGUAUUCAUGUCAUAUAAAAUAUUCAAAUUUGUGUAUUAUUGUCAUAUUUCACAAAAAAAAUUGUUAUUCAAAUUUGUGAAUUAUUGUUCUAUUUUACAGAAAAAUUGUGUAUCACAAUUAAUAUCGGUGUGAAAAUGCAAGAUAUAAUUUUUUAUUUUGUUAAACCCCAUAUAUAGUUAUUAUUAAAAAUUUAAAUCAUAUCACAUUAAUAUUUUUUUUUUGCAUCUUAUUCGUAUAGUAAUUAUUAAUUUAGAGUUGUCUCUUCAUUUUAUUUUUUUUUUGUUGAGAGCAUCUUAUCUACAAUUUUUUUACUAUAAUAUUAUAAUUGUUCAAUUACAAUAAGAAAUUAUAUAAAAGUGCACCAUUUAUAAGUGAUAGUUUUAUAUAAAAUUUUGAUGUUUUUUAUAUAAUUCUGAAUCAUAAUUGGUUAAUUGUAUUACAAUCAUUGUAGGUGAUAUACUCUUUUUCUUGUUGGUCAAUUUCAUAUUAAAUAUUUGUAAAAUAAAAAAAUUAUUGUGUCACAAUUCUUGUCCACAUGCCAAACAUGAAAUUAUUUUUUGUUUUUGUUAAAUUCAUAUUCUAUUUUUAGUAAAACUUUAAACCAUGUCAUUUUUAUAAUUUUUUUCAUAUUAUAUUAUUUUUAUAACAUUUUUUGGUCUAAUGGCUAAAGAGACUUUAUAAAGAUAGAGAGGUUAUAGUUUCGAGUCAGGAUCUUUUUCUCCUUUCUUUUUUUUAAGGGCUAUAACAUCCCUUGAACAAAAAAAAAAAAAAAGAGUUUGAAUUUUCUCAACCCAAUAUUAAAAAUUUUUUAUAUUUCUUUUUCUAUAGUUUUUUAGUAGAUUAUUAAGCAUUAUUAUUUUAAACUUAUAUAAAGAUAUAAAAAUAAAAACUUUUGAUAAAAAAAAAAGGCAGUUGUCCUACAUAUAUGACCUAAAUUUUUAUACGUGGAUAACCUAAAUUAAUUCCAUGUGUCUCCUAAAUUAAUUUGUUUAACUAAAUUUCAUUGAAUUAAUUACCUCUAUUAUCUUCUAAAUACAUGAUAAAUUUAUCUAUUCUGACUUGUUUAUUUUUAAAAGAUAUUAAUUGUUCAAACUAAAUCAAAUAAACCUAAAAUCAUUCUAAUUUGAUGAUAAAAAAAUCAUGCUAAUUUAAUAUAAAUAUAUAAAUGAUAAAAUCUCUAAUAAAAAAUAAAUUCUCUUAUUUGAAUAAUAUAAUUUUCUAUAUUUGGAUAGUUCUUGUAUCACUAAAUAUAUUUCAAAUUCAAAACAAAAAUUGAAAUUAAAUAAAUUGCAAAUAUUUAUUUUCUUUUAUGUCAACAUACACUAAAUAUCCAUAUUUAAUUUAUUAACUAAUUUGUCUCCUAAUCACUAUUAUAAGUAUUGAAAGUUUGUAGCUUUUGCCUACCAUUCUUUUUUUUUUUUUAAUAAGAGAAAAAUAUAAAAUCUCUUCUUUUUUUUUCUUCUAAUAGUUUUAUGUGUGUAAAAUUUUAACAUUAAUGGUAAAAGAAUGGUGAAUACAUAAAACUCUCAUUCUAUAGUAAUCUUAGUAUUAAAAAUUCAUGCAAUUUUUUUUUUUUUUUUCUUUCUUUAGUUCUUUUUAUAUAAUUUCAUGUCUCUACUUUUUUUAUGGUGGAAAAAGAAUUUUACUAAUUAUUUUAGAAAAUGAAUUUACGUAUUAUAUUGUAUAAGAAAUGUGAUUAUAUAUUGUUGAGGUUGAGAUUAUUUAUUUAAUUUUUUUUAAAAUAGUAAUUAGAGUAAGGCUGUUUAAGACAACUUUGAAUGCAUUGAAUAUUUUUACUUUAAUUUAAAUGCUCGUAUCAAAAUUACUUUUUUGAAAGUUUCAUGUUCAAAACCAAAAUAUUUUUCAAAAGUUUCAAAUUUAACUUAUAGUUUCUUAUUAUUGAUUGUUCUUAUUAGUUUAAAAUUUUUAUUAUUUUUUCCUUUAGAGGGUAAUAAUUUUUUUAAUUUUUUUGUUAUAGCUAAACUUUUAAAACUUAAAAUAUCAAUGACCCAAAAUAUCGACAAUGAUGAAUGUUUAACCACAAAAUACUUUUACUUAAAUACAAAGUGAUCAUGAAAAUUUAAUUAAUUGAAAUAUUAUAAUGAAAAAGAUGAAAACCUCGUAUAUUGAACGGGUCAAAAGCUUUUUUUUUUUUUUUGAAUAACUUUUAGUCUUUGCUCUUUUGAAAAAGAUCUUGCUCUAAAAUAAAUAUAAAUAAUUUAAUAAAUAUUAUUUUAAUUAGGUUAAUUACUAUAAUUAUUCAUCACAUAAAACCCAAAUACAUUUUUUUAGUUACUAGUUUUAAAGUAAAAUGAAAAUAGUAAAAUUACAAGAGCUAAAAAAUUUCUUUGGUCCAAGUCAAUUAUUCAAUCAAGUUCAAAAUCAAUGCUGUUGGUCAUCCCGUCUCCCCAUAGUUUAUACGUGGACCAAACUUUUUUCUUGCACUGGUGAAAAUGGAUUGGGAAACGACCAACUUAAAAAAUUAAGCCUAAUUUGUGACUUGAGAGAGUAAUUUUGGCUGAAAUCUAAUAAUUAUGUGAAUGUUUCAUGUUAUUGUCAAAUUGAAUCAGGCGGUCACACGUGCUUGGACAAAUAUGGUUACUAUGCCAUUGAUUAAGGCAUUGAUUGUGUCAAAUUGACAUGCAGUGCUUUUAAUGAAUACGGAAUUUAAUUUAAAAGAUAUAUUCAACUUUUGAAAGAGAUGAAUUUUCAUAAGAUUAGGAUUUAUUUUUCACUGCUUACAUUAAAAUAAAAUAAAAAAUCUAAGUUUUAAAUAGUUAGAGUCUUAUUUGGAUUAAUCACAUCAAUAUAUUUUUUAAAAGAGUAUUUUACUUAUAAUAAUAAUUAUUAUAAUAUUAUAAUUAAUCAAUCAUAAUUAAAAAUUACAUAAAGAUCAACUAUUUAAAACUAUGGGUUGUACAUAAUUUUUAUACACCGUAUACAAUAUUGAAUUAUAAUAAUUAAUUAAACUACCAUAAUUAUAGAUAAUAUGCUAUUAUCUUUUUUUAUUCCUCAUCAUUUAUAUGAGAUUAUUCGAUUAUUAUGGAAGAUUCACGGUUGUUUUUUUUUUUUUUUUACUAUGUUAUGAAUCAUACAUUAUAUUACAAUUAUACUUUGAUGUUUCUAACAUUUAGUCAAAAUAAUUAAUUUUGAUUAAUUUAUUAAAUAUAUAAAGCUUGAUAAAAAAGAAAAGAAAAGAAAAGAAAAGAGAGAUAGAGAUGAAGAUUAAUUCUUUUGGUAGUUAAAGUUAGAGAUGUUCUUGAUUGAGCUUAAACAUGAUGUUAAUAUUUUACGUGGUUGCCUAAAUACAAUCCGACAAUUCGAGUUUUAAAUUUUGUCCAAACAAACUUAAAUUAUUAUAUUUUAAGUCUAUCCAAAUAAUUUUUUUAAAUAAAAAUGAAAAAAUUAUAUAUCCUUAACAUAAAAUAAAAGUAUAUUUUAUAUAUUAUACAAUUAAAAAAAAUGACAAAACCAAAUUUAGAUUUUGCUUGAUAAAAAAGAUGAAACAAAUUAAAAAUUAAAAAUUUUAAUUUAAUAAUUAAAUUACAAAAUAAGAGUUUUAAUUAUUGAAUUAACAAAUUUUUUGAAAUUUCCAUCUUUAAUCCAUUCCAUCUUGUCUAUCAAACAAAAUUUUAUACUUUGAAAUUUUAGGUUAAGGUCUGACUCAUAUUUAAAUAAGUCUUGUUUUUUCUCAAAUGCAUUUAAUGUGUUUAAUAUUUUUAUUUAAAUUCUUCCGAAUAUUAAUAAUAGAGCCUUAAGUUUAGAGAGAUGAGUUGGGACUUGAAUAAAUCUAAUUAAAGAUCUUUGAUUCAAACUGAAAACAAAGAGCGAAAGGAUGGCCAUAAUUUAUUUUAUAAGUAAUAAUACUAAACAUAUGAAAUAAAAAACCACAAAAAAGAGUAAUUCUCACUGAAAAUAUCAUUAUUUGUUGUUGGAUCGAUUUCUUGUUGUUGGAUCGGUUUCUUGCUACGAUGAAAUGGAUGGGUAAAUUUUUUGUGUUUAUUUAUUUAUUUUUACUUCUUUUGUAGACCUUGAUUAAUGACUCUCAGCAAGUAAGUUUAUUGUAGUUGAAGUUUAUUCUAGUUGAAGUUUUUGCUUCAGUGUGGUCUAAAAUUUACAAUCUCACUGAUUUGUUGUUAUUCAAACAUGUGGAGGUAAUUCUAAAAAUUUGACUUGCCUAUGUUGUUUUGUUGAUUUGAUUGUUUUUGUUAGAGUGCUACCAAAAUAUUUGAGGUAUUGAGAUCUUCUUUACUUUUUUUUACCAACUACAAAAAUAGAAACAUUUCAUGCUGCGUGUGCCUUUCGGUUUUUCAGAACUAAUAUUAAGAUUUGAUCGGCAAAUAUUAUCAAUUUACUUAAAGAGGGCAACUCUAAUCCAUUAAAGAAAUGCUGCCUUUAAACCGUAGUAUUUAUUGAGAUCAUAAACAUAACAAUAUCAAGUAAAACUGUGGCAAGAGGGUAUUUAUUUCUGCAAAGUUACAGUUAAUAGAAGUAUGGGAAACUAUAAAAUGAAUUGUUAUUUGUAUGAUAAAAAAAAAAUGUUUGUGUGACAUUUGUACUUUUUAUGAUAUAAGGAUAAUUAUGUAAUUUGGUAGAGUUAUGUGGGAAAUUUUAGCCUUUAGGUAAUUAUGUAAUUACAUGUUUUUUCUUGGUGCAUUUUUGGUGGGAAAAGGUAAAUGUUUGCUUUAAAAUUUAUCACAUGGUUGUAUAUUAUCACAAAAUUUAUAUGUUUCUUUCUUUAGUGACUCUUCAAUUAGGUAUUUAUUUUCGAUCAAAUAUUUUACGAUGACAAUGAUAAACUUAUUUGCUCUUUCAACUUACAUUGAGUAUAUACAAAAAUUGACUCCAACAUUAUUUUUUUGUAAAGAUAGGAUUUAUUUUGACACUACUCAAUUAUUUUUAAUGUUGUUUGGACCGAAUUCAUCUUUAUCUUCCAAUUAUCUGACCUGGUUCCGUUGCUCACAUAUGGUUGGUUUAAUUAAGCUUUUGCCCGCUCCAUGAUCCCCAGCCUGCCAGCUGCUCAUGUUAGCUCAAUUCCCAAGGAGAAUGGAUGAUCCUAUCUACCUCUGAAACUCCUGGAAAUCAUAUGAUAUGUAGUAUGGUUUUGACAGCUGCAGUCAUAGUCAGUCAGUCUUAUUAUCAUCAGAAAUGUAUUUUCUUUGUCAUUGAUUAUUUGUUUAAUGCAAGCUGCAACAAGUAAUUAUACUCCUUAAGUCUCUGGUAUACAUUCAGCAGCACAAAUCUUCCAAACCCUGUAUGGGAACUGAUCAAAUGGCCAACUCUUAGCCAAAAUGCAAAAUCACACACGAUUGCAGGCACGUGGUAAUUUACAAUUAAUAAUUUACAAAUUCAGUGCGAAUACUAGCAGUUUGGGUCCGUGAUUACUUUGGUGCAAAUCUUUUUAUAGAGUCCUCAAACCUCAAAUCUUUAGUGUAGUGAUUAAAGUCCAGAUUUGAAUGUUAUUCCUCUCCCUACCGAUGAUGGUGAGGCAUCAACACAAUGGAAAGCAUGAUAAUAAAAUUAUUUAAUUAUAAUUCUCACAAGUUUUUUGGAUAUUUAUUUAAUACAUUAUAAAACUUACCAAAAAUAAAUUUUUUUUAAAAAUGUUUAUAACUUUUCAUAAAUUCAUUUCGUUAAAAAAUUUAUAAACUUUUAAGGAAAAUUAUAAAAAGGAUUUUUGGUUUAAAGAUUUUUAUUAAUUGAUGUAAUAAAAAUUAUUGUUAAAAAAUAAUAAAUUUUAAAUUAAUAAAGGAGUUAAUUUUAUUAUUUUAACUUUAAAGAAAGAAUAAAAUCUUAUAAUUUGAAAUUUUUUGAAACUAUACAAAUAAUACAAUUGAAUAUUAUACAAUUUUGUUAAAAUCUAAUAUAUUAACUAAACAAAUUCAUCAUAAUAAAUAGAUGGAGAGAGUUCACCAAAAAGUUCAAUUUAGUUAAAACUAUUAAAAAAUUUUAAUAGUUGAUAUCAAGAAAAAAUAUUUAUUAAAAAAGUAAUAAUAAAAUUUAAAUUUAUAAAAAUUUACAUAUACUAUUUUAUCAAGAAAAAAUAUUUAAUAAUAACUUUUUAUUACAUUAAUUAAUAAAAAUUUUUAAUAAUUUUUUUAUUUUUUUUCUUAUAAUUUUAAUUUUCAACUUUCAAAAACAUGAAUAUUCGAAAAGUUCUAAAAUAUUUCAGAAAUUCAUUUAUGGUAAGUUAUAAAAUUUUAUAAAAAUAUAUUUUCGAUAAGUUAUAAAAUUUUACCAAAAAUCCAUAUUCGAAUAUAGAUAUAAAAAAAUCGUGAAAAUGGUAUUUAAAUAAUUUUUUUAGAGUUAAAUACAUAUUUGACCUCUAAAUUUUGUACUUUUUGUUAAAUUAGUAUCUAAAUAAUUUUUCUAUCACAUUGGUACAUAAACUUUCAAAUCAUUAUUACGUUGAUAUUUUUGACUAAUCUGAAUAUUCAAUAAGAUUUUGACAUAUAUCAAAAGUUCACUCAGCAUUUCAUCAUCAUUGACAUGUUAUACUAUGUGAUCUUUAAAACAAAACUUCAAAAAAAAAUAAAAAAAUUCUAAAAUUUUUUAAAAAUUAUAAAAGAAUUUCAAAAAAAUAACAAAAGUUCAAAAAAUUAAAAAAAUUUAAAGAAAUUCUAAAAUUUUUCUAAAAUUUCUAAAAAAACUUUUUUUAAAAAAAUUAAAAAUUCAAAAAAAAUUGAAAACUUCAAAUAAAAAGUCUAAGAAAUUCUAAAAAUUUUUCAAAAAAAUAAAAAAUAACAAUUUUUAAAAAUAAUAAAAAAUUUAAAAAGCCUAUAAAAAUUAUGAAAAUUUUUUAAAAAUUCUAACAAUUUUCAAAUAGUCAAAAAUAAUUUUAAAAAACUUAUAAAAUUUUCAAAAAAUUAAAAAUUUAAAAAAUUUUGAAAAAAAUUUAACAAAUUCUAUAACUUUUAAAAAUUUUAAAAAAUUAAAAUAUAAAAAAUUAUAAAAUUAUAAAAAAUUCAACAAAAUUCUAGAAAAUUUUUAAAAAUUCAAAAAGAAUUAAGGAAACUUAAAAUUUUUCAAAAAAUUACAAAUUUUAAAAAAUCCAAAAAUUUUAAGAGUUUUUUUAUGUUUUUAUUUUUUUAAUUUUAAAGAAUAUUAAAAACUUUUGAAAUUAUUUAAUUUUUCAAAAAAUUUUAAUAGUUUUUAGAUUUUUUUUUAUUUUCAAUUUUUGUAUUUUUUUUAAACUUGAAUAAAAUUUAAUUUUAUAAAUUUUAACUUUUUGGAAUUCUUUUCUAUUUAAAAAUUUUUUUUUUGAAUUUUUAAAAUUUUUAAAAUUAUGAUAAUUUCUGUAAUUUAGAAAAAAUAUUUCUUAUUUUUAAUUUUUUAUAAAUUUUAAAAUUUUUAAAAUUUUUUGUAUAAUAUUUAGCAUUUUUUUAGAAUGGUUUAGAAUUUUUUUUAAUUUUUUGAGAAAUUUUAAAAAAUUUUGCAUACAAAAAACAUUUUUUUAAUUCUUUUUAAAAAAUUUUUUAGCAUUUUUUAAAUUUUAAACAUUUUCAAAACUUUAGAAUUAUUUUUAAUUUUUAUAAGUUUUUAAAGAUUUUUUUGAAUUUUUUUAAAUUUUUUUAGAAAAUUUUAAAAUGUUUAAAUUUGUUAAAAAAUUAAAAUAAUAUAUAAUAUUUUAAAAUAUUUUAAUAUUUUUGAGAAUUUUUUUAAUUUAAACAAAAUUUUCUUUUAAAUAUGACAUGGGCAUGAUGUAGUAUUGAUAAUAUGACGCUAAUUAAACUUUUUAGACACAUGUCAGCUUGUUGUUGGAUAUUUAUGUUACGUCAAUAAAAUUGACUAAUGGCGUUAGUCAAAAAUACUAAUAUGAUAACAAUUUGAAAAAUUAGGUAUCAAUGUGAUAAAAAAAAAUUUUAGGUAUCAAUGUGAUAAAAAUUAUAAAAUUGGGGGGUCAGAUAUAUAUUUAAUCCUUUUUUUUUAGAAAAUAUUUUAAAAAGGAAAAAGUGAGGUGUGAAGAGUAAAAAUGAAGGUAUUUAGAACCUUUUUUUUUUCUUUUUCUUUUGGCUUUAUUUGGUAUUUGACUAUAAAGCUCGUAUUUAUUUAUUUAGAUGUAAAAAUUAAUUUCAACUUAAUAGUUGAUGUAUAAUUACUAUAUUUAGUUUUAUGUAUUCAUGUUAUAUAAAAUAUUCAAAUUUGUGUAUUAUUGUUCUAUUUUACAGAAAAUUGUGUAUCACAAUUAAUAUCGGUGUGAAAAUACAAAAUAUAAUUUUUUUUAUUUUGUUAAACCCCAUAUAUAGUUAUUAUUAAAAAUUUAAAUCAUAUCACAUUAAUAUUCUUUUUUGCAUCUUAUUCGUAUAGUAAUUAUUAAUUUAGAGUUGUCUCUUCAUUUUUUUUUGUUGAGAGCAUCUUAUCUACAAUUUUUUUACUAUAAUAUUAUAAUUGUUCAAUUACAAUAAGAAAUUAUAUAAAAGUGCACCAUUUAUAAGUGAUAGUUUUAUAUAAAAUUUUGAUGGUUUUUAUAUAAUUCUGAAUCAUGAUUGGUUAAUUGUAUUACAAUUAUUGUAGGUGAUAUACUCUCAUUCUUGUUGGUCAAUUUCGUAUUAAAUAUUUGUAAAAUAAAAAAAAUUAUCAUGUCACAAUUUUUGUCGACAUGCCAAACAUGAAAUUAUUUUUUGUUUUUGUUAAAUUCAUAUGCGAUUUUUAGUAAAACUUUAAACCAUGUCCUUUUUAUAAUUUUUUUCAUAUUAUAUUAUUUUUAUAACAUUUUUUGGUUUAGUGGCUAAAGAGACUUUAUAAGGAUAUAGAGGUUAUAGUUUUAGAGUCAAGAUCUUUUUCUCCUUUCUUCUUUAUAAGGGCUAUAACAUCCUUGAACAAAAAAAAAAAAAAAAAAGUCUUUUUCUAUAGCUUUUUAGUAGAUUAUUAAGCAUUAUUAUUUUAAACUUAUAUAAAGAUAUAAAAUAAAAACUUUUGAUAAAAAAAAAAGGCAGUUGUCAUAUAAAUAUGACCUAAAUUUUUAUACGUGGAUAACCUAAAUUAAUUUGUUUAACUAAAUUUCAUUGAAUUAAUUACCUCUAUUAUCUUUUAAAUACAUGAUAAAUUUAUCUAUUCUGACUUGUUUAUUUUUAAAAGAUAUUAAUUGUUCAAACUAAAUCAAAUAAACCUAAAAUCGUUCUAAUUUGAUGAUAAAAAAAUCAUGCUAAGUUAAUAUAAAUAUAUAAAUGAUAAAAUCUCUAAUAAAAAAGAAAUUCUCUUAUUUGAAUAAUAUAAUUUUCUAUAUUUGGAUAGUUCUUGUAUCACUAAAUAUAUUUCAAAUUCAAAACAAAAAUUGAAAUUAAAUAAAUUGCAAAUAUUUAUUUUCUUUUAUGUCAACAUACACUAAAUAUCCAUAUUUAAUUUAUUAAUAAAUUUGUCUCCUAAUCACUAUUAUAAGUAUUGAAAGUUUGUAGCUUUUGCCUACCAUUCUUUUUUUCCUUUUUUUUUAAUAAGAGAAAAAUAUAAAAUCUCUUCUUUUUUUUUCUUCUAAUAGUUUUAUGUGUGCAAAAUUUUAACAUUAAUGGUAAAAGAAUGGUGAAUACAUAAAACUCUCAUCUAUAGUAAUCUAGUUAUUAAAAAAUUCAUGCAAUUUUUUUUUUAUUUUUCUUUCUUUAGUUCUUUUUAUAUAAUUUCAUGUCUCUACUUUAUUUUAUGGUUGGAAAAAGAAUUUUACUAAUUAUUUUCUAGAAAAUGAAUUUAGCGUAUUAUAUUGUAUUAAGGAAAUGUGAUUAAUAUAUUGUUGAGGUUGAAGAUAUUUAUUUUAAUUUUUUUUAAAAAUAGUAAUUAGAGUAAUGGGCUGUUUAAGACAAUUUGAAUGCAUUGAAUAUUUUUUACUUUAAUGUUAAUGCUCCGUAUCAAAAAUUACUUUUUUGAAAGGAUUUCAUGUUCAAAACCUAAAUAUUUCAAAAGUUUCCAAAUUUUAACUGUAUAGUUUUUUAUUAUUGAUUGUUCUUAUUAGUUUAAAAUUUUUAUUUUAUUUUUCUUCUUAGAGGUAAAUAUUUUUUUUAAUUUUUUUGUUAUUAAGCUAAACUUUUAAAACUUAAAUAUUCAAUGGACCACAAAUUAUCGACAAUCAUUAAUGUUUAACCACAAAAUACUUUUACUUAAAUACAAAGUGAUCAUGAAAAUUUAAUUAAUUGAAAUAUUAUCAUGAAAAAGAUGAAAACCUCGUAUAUUGAACGGGUCAAACGCUUUUUUUUUUUUUUUGAAUAACUUUUAGUCUUUGUUCUUUUAAAAAAGGUCUUGCUCUAAAAUAAAUAUAAAUAAUUUAAUAAAAUAUUAUUUUAAUUAGGUUAAUUACUAUAAUUAUUCAUCACAUAAAACCCCAAAUACAUUUUUUUAGUUAUUAGUUUUAAAGUAAAAUGAAAAUAGUAAAAAUUACAAGAGGCUAAAAAAUUUCUUUGGUCCAAGUCAAUUAUUCAAUCGAGUUCAAAAUCCAAAUGCUGUUGGUCAUCCCCAUCUCCCAUAGUUUUAUUACGUGGACCAAACUUUUUUCUUUCACUGGUGAAAAUGGAUUGGAAACGACCAACUUUAAAAAAUUUAAGCCUAAUUUGGUGACUUGGGAGAGUAAUUUUGGCUGAAAUCUGAUAAUUAUGUGAAUGUUUCAUGUUAUUGUCAAAUUGAAUCAGGCGGUCACACGUGCUUGGACAAAUAUGGUUACUAUGCCAUUGAUUAAGGCAUUGAUUGUGUCAAAUUGACAUGCAGUCCUUUUAAUAAAUACGAAAUUUAAUUUAAAAGAUAUAUUCAACUUUUGAAAGAGAUGAAUUUUCAUAAGAUUAGGAUUUAUUUUUCACUGCUUACAUUAAAAUAAAAAAAAAUCUAAGUUUUAAAUAGUUAGAGUCUUAUUUGGAUUAAUCACAUCAAUAUAUUUUUUAAAAGAGUAUUUUACUUAUAAUAAUAAUUAUUAUAAUAUUAUAAUUAAUCAAUUAUAAUUAAAAAUUACGUAAAGAUCAACUAUUUAAAACUAUGGGUUGUACAUAAUUUUUAUACACCGUAUACAAUAUUGAAUUAUAAUAAUUAAUUAAACUACCAUAAUUAUAGAUAAUGUGCUAUUAUCUUUUUUUAUUCCUCAUCAUUUAUAUGAGAUUAUUCGAUUAUUAUGGAAGAUUCACGGUUUUUUUUUUUUUUUUUUACUAUGUUAUGAAUCAUAUAUUAUAUUACAAUUAUACUUUGAUGUUUCUAACAUUUAGUCAAAAUAAUUAAUUUUGAUUAAUUUAUUAAAUAUAUAAAGCUUGAUAAUAAAAAAAAAAGAAAAGAAAAGAGAGAUAGAGAUGAAGAUUAAAUUCUUUUGGUAGCUGAAGUUAGAGAUGUUCUUGAUCGAGCUUAAACAUGAUAUUAAUAUUUUACGUGGUUGCCUAAAUACAAUCCAACAAUUCAAGUUUUAAAUUUUGUCCAAACUAACCUAAAUUAUUAUAUUUUAAGUCUAUCCAAAUAAUUUUUUUAAAUAAAAAUGAAAAAAUUAUAUAUCCUUAACAUAAAAUAAAAAUAUAUUUUAUAUAUUAUACAAUUAAAAAAAAUGACAAAACCAAAUUUAGAUUUUGCUUGAUAAAAAAGAUGAAAAAAAAUUAAAAAUAAAAAAUUUUAAUUUAAUAAUUAAAUUACAAAAUAAGAGUUUUAAUUAUUGAAUUAACAAAUUUUUUGAAAUUUCCAUCUUUAAUCCAUUCCAUCUUGUCUAUCAAACAAAAUUUUAUACUUUGAAAUUUUAGGUUAAGGUCUGACUCAUAUUUAAAUAAGUCUUGUUUUUUUUCUCAAAUGCAUUUAAUGUGUUUAAUAUUUUUAUUUAAAUUUUUCCGAAUAUUAAUAAUGGAGCCUUAAGUUUGGAGAUAGAAGUCGGGCCUUGAAUAAAUCUAAUUAAAGAUCUUUGAUUCAAACUGAAAACAAAGAGCGAAAGGAUGGCCAUAAUUUAUUUUAUAAGUAAUAAUACAAAAUAUAUGAAAUAAAAAACCACAAAAAGAGUAAUUGUCAUUGAAAAUAUCAUUAUUUGUUGUUGGAUCGGUUUCUUGCCACGAUGAAAUGGAUUGGUAAAUUUUAUUUGCUUAUUUAUUUAUUUUUACUUGUCUUGUAGACCUUGAUUAAUGACUCUCAACGAGUAAGUUUAAUGUAGCUUAGAUCUAAUUCUACCCACUGUGUGAGCAAAGUAAAUGGGUCUACAUUGAAAGUAACAAUGAAACUCGGAGAAGAACAAAUCUAAUAUAUAUACUAUAUAACAGUAUACAUAAAUUAAUUUAUUAUAUAGGCUCUUAUGUGAAUAACUUUCUUAAAUGAUACAUAUGAUAGAUUUUUAAAAGAAUAAAAUAGUUUUUUUUAAUUACAAGUUAGAUAAUUUUAAAUUUAUUCAAAUAUCAAAAUUAUUCAAAUUAUAAUUGAAAAUUAAAUUAAUUUAGAUAUAUAUAUUCUAAAAUUAAAAAUAUGAAAUAUGGAUUUUAUUUUUUUAAUAAAUAAUUUUAGUUGUUUAUCAAAUAACCUUAUUUAAAAAAUUAUUUAAUUAUCAAAAUCUUUCAAACAUGUUUAAAAAUUAUAAAUAUUAAGUUUAUCCAAAAUUUUCAACAAAAUAUCUUGAUUUAAAAAAUUUGAUAUAAAAAUAGUCUUUUUAAAAAAUUUACGUAAGACAUUAAAAAUUCAAGUAAUUUUAUGUAAGAUUUUGAAAAUUCAAAAAAUUUUAUCUUAAAUCUUUAAAUAAUAAGAUUAUCAAAAUGAUUAUAUCCAUAUGAACUUUAAUUAUCAAAUUUAUAUUUCAAAUAAAUGUAAAAAAUUUAAUAUUAUCUUCAUCAUUAUUAUAUCAAUUUUAAAUUUUAAAAAUUAUCUAUUUGAUCUUAAUUGCAACUAAAGAAUUCUUCUACAAAUUUAAGACUAUAAAUAUAAUGUGUUAUACAUCAAUUUUUUUUAUUUUUUCAAUAACUUUUUUUAAAGUAUAUUAUAUUAUUAUUGCAAUUUUUUUGUUUAUAAAUUUUUUAUGAGAUAUAUUUUAUUAUUAUUACAGUUUCAUUCUUAUGAAAAAAAUUUUCAUUUUUUUUUAUUUUUUCACAUAUUUUCUAACUUUUUCAUAUUUCAUAUAAUAAUUUAGUCAAUAUUACUAAAGUGAAAGUGUGUUAGUACUUAUUUUUAUUUAAGAUAACAAAUGUAAUAUGUUAUACAUCAAUUUUUUUAUUUUUCACUAACUUUUUUAAGGUAUAUUCUAUUACUAUUACAGUUUAUUUAUUUUUUGUUUAUAAAUUUUUUCUAAGAUAUAUUUUAUUGUUAUUAUAGUUUCAUUCUUAUGAAAAAUAAAAUUUUUGCAAUUUAUUUUUUUCUUUUUUCACAUAUCUUUUAACAUUUUUCAUAUUUUGUAUAAUAAUUUAGUCAAGAUUACUAAAGUGAAAGUGUGUUAAUACUUCUUUUAUUAUUUAAUUUAUCAUUCAAUAAUAUAUAUUUUUAAGAAAAACAUAAUUUAUUUUUAUUUGAUAUAAUUUUAUAAGUGUAUAAAUAUUAGUAUAAACAAAAAUAUCCAAAAAAAAAACAUAAUUUUUUUUACUGUUUUCAAAAAAUUUAUUUUUUAAUGACAAGUCAAUAUAUAUAAAUUUUAUAUAUGUUAUAAGUUUUAAAAAAUUUGAAUAUAAUUUUAAAAAGAAACUAAUUUAUAUAUAUAUAUAUAUCAAUUCAUAUCAAAUAAAUAAAAUAAUUUCAUGUAUGAUAGGAGUUAUAAUCUAAUAAUCUAUAAAAUAAAUUAAAACUAUUUUGGGCUCUUAAAACUGUCGCUAUCAUCAUUAAUGUCUUAGCAUCUAUUUGGAAGGGUAGUAAAAUUGAUUUAGUGAAAUUAAAAAUAAUGAUAAAAAUGAGAUUAAUUAUCGUAACAGUAAAAUUAAAAUUAAUGAUAACAUAUGUAUUUAGAUGUAAAAAUAACGAUUAUAAUGAGGUGAAUAUUAUAAAAAAGUUAUCAUUAAGAAUAUUAAAUUAAAAUUUGAAUACAAUAAAAUUUUAAAUUAUUUAUUAUUUAAUAAUAUAUCAAAUAAUUAAUUAAAAAUUAAUAAAAUACAAUAUAUUAUUUAUUUAUUAACUAUUUUAUUAUAUAAUUACAAAAAAAUAUUUAUUAUAUUAAAAUAAUAAAUUUGUUUGAAACUUUUUAAAUAAAAAAUAAAAUGAAAAAAAAGACUAAGUAAUAGGACAUUUGUAUCUUUCUAGUCUAGUUUUAUGGGUAAAAAGAAAACAACAAAAAACGAAAAACAAAACAAAACAAGAACAUAAAUGGAAAAAAAGUGCAGUGGGGAGAUGAGAUUUUCCAGUGGAGCCUUCCACCUCUAGUUGAAGUUUUUGCUUCAGUGUGGUCUAAAAUUUACAAUCUCACUGAUUUGUUGUUAUCCAAACAUGUGGAGGUAAUUCUAAAAAUUUGACUUGCCUAUGUUGUUUUGUUGAUUUGAUUCUUUUUGUUAGAGUGCUACCAAAAUAUUUGAGGUAUUGAGAUCUUCGUUACUUUUUUUUACCAACUACAAAAAUAGAAACAUUUCAUGCUGCGUGUGCCUUUUGGUUUUUCAGAACUAAUAUUAAGAUUUGAUCGGCAAAUAUUAUCAAUUUACUUAAAGAGGGCUACUCUAAUCCAUUAAAGAAAUGCUGCCUUUAAACCGUGGUAUUUAUUGAGAUCAUAAACGUAACAAUAACAAGUAAAACUGUGGGAAGAGGGUAUUUAUUUCUGCAAAGUUACAGUUAAUGGAAGUAUGGGAAACUAUAAAAUGAAUUGUUAUUUGUAUGAUAAAAAAAAAAAUGUUUGUGUGACAUUUGUACUUUUUAUGAUAUAAGGAUAAUUAUGAAAUUUGGUAGAGUUAUGUGGGAAAUUUUAGCCUUUAGGUAAUUAUGUAAUUACAUGUUUUUCCUUGGUGCAUUUUUGGUGGAAAAAGGUAAAUGUUUGCUUUAAAAUUUAUCACAUGGUUGUAUAUUAUCACAAAAUUUAUAUGUUUCUUUCUUUAGUGACUCUUCAAUUAGGUAUUUAUUUUCGAUCAAAUAUUUUACGAUGACAAUGAUAAACUUAUUUGCUCUUUCAACUUACAUUGAGUAUAUACAAAAAUUGACUCCAACAUUAUUUUUUUUGUAAAGAUAGGAUUUAUUUUGACACUACGUGAUUAUUUUUAAUGUUGUUUGGACCGAAUUCAUCUUUAAUUUUUAGAUAAAAAAAUAUCUUCCAAUUAUCUGACCUGGUUCCGUUGCUCACAUAUGGUUGGUUUAAUUAAGCUUUUGCCCGCUCCAUGAUCCCCAGCCUGCCAGCUGCUCAUGUUAGCUCAAUUCCCAAGGAGAAUGAAUGAUCCUAUCUACCUCUGAAACUCCUGGAAAUCAUAUGAUAUGUAGUAUGGUUUUGACAGCUGCAGUCAUAGUCAGUCAGUCUUAUUAUCAUCAGAAAUGCAUUUUCUUUGUCAUUGAUUAUUUGUUUAAUGCAAGCUGCAACAAGUAAUUAUACCCCUUAAGUCUCUGGUAUACAUUCAGCAGCACAAAUCUUCCAAACCCUGUAAGGGAACUGAUCAAAUGGCCAACUCUUAGCCAAAAUGCAAAAUCACACACGAUUGCAGGCACGUGGUAAUUUACAAUUGGUAAUUUACAAAUUCAGUGCGAAUACUAGCAGUUUGGGUCCGUGAUUACUUUGGUGCAAAUCUUUUUAUAGAGUCCUCAAACCUCAAAUCUUUAGUGUAGUGAUUAAAAACAUUCGAAAAACAUAUUAAGAAUUUAAUUUCGAAUUAAAUUUUAUUUUUUUAAUUUAUACUAAGAUUUUAUCUCUUGAUAUAAUACAAAAAAAAUUUCCUUGAAAGGCACAAUUUCUGCAAAUCAAGAAGAGUUCUAUUUCAGUUUCCAAUAACUGCAUCGAGAAGGUUAAUUAGGUUUGGUGCAAGUGCGCCCAAGAAAAUUAAAUCAUGUUGUUACAACUGCAAGUUCAAAAAAAUAUAUGCACAUAAUAACUUACUCAAUUAAGUAAAAGUAAAGAUUUGAGAUUCAAUGGUAAAUUAAAAAUUAAAUAAAAAAGGGGGAAAUAAUCCUAUUUUAAGUAGUUAAAAGCAUUUUUUUUUUUAUUUAAACCUGGUGGAUGAAUGGAGAGGAAAGUACAAAAAAGAACAAAAGAAAAACGUGUUCAUUGCAUUCCGACUGAACAUGACGAAAUAAAUAGCAUAAGUACCACAAAGAAAGUUACCAUCACAACCUAAAUCGAUCUAGAAUAUAUCAGAAUGCAGAUACAGACUCGUACUGCAUUAUCAUGUAUCAUAGAAAUCUAAUAAAGAAUUAAGCAAAACUGGGCGAAAUUAUUGUUAUUAGAUUUACUAAAGUUUCCCAACAAAGAACAAAAUAAAGCUCAAAGUAACAAGUAACAGAUUGACUAAUGUAAGGGUUGAAUUCUUUUCUCCCGAGCCUCUUCAAUUGCGAAUUAUCUUUUCAAUGUGCCAAUUUUUUUGUUUGGAGAAGCUUCUUCAGUCCAGCUUUACAGAAGAGAAUAAAUAAUGCACAAACCAGAAAGAAGAAAGGAAUCCAAUUGUGCCUGUUGCAAACAUGAUUGCGAGAACUAUGAAGAGAGAAUACCCCAAGUAAAGAGUAGCAGAGACAGGUCCACUCAAACUCUUAAGAUCAAAUAUGAGGUAGUUUAUGGAGUACAAGAAGAUGUAGAUGGCAACUGAACCAGAAGCAAAGAAGGAUUUCCACCACCAUUUCCAGUCCUCCACACACAGAUGCAUGUAAGUUAACACCAAAGAUACUUCAGCACAAACCACAACAAGUAGGAUCAGAACAAUGAACAGAAACCCAAAGACAUAGUAAACUCGCCCCAUCCAGAUGCUAGACAUGAUGAAGAAAAGCUCGAUGAAAAGGGUACCAAAAGGUAGAGUCCCAGCACCAAGAACUAACAGCCAGGAUGGAUACUUUUGAGCUGGAAUUUCCCGAGGGAUCUGGUUGGUUCGAACAGGGUAUUCGAUAUGAGGUGCCUUAGCCCCAAAGUAUCCGCCAACUAGGGUCAGUGGAACCGAGAUACAGAACCAAAGUAGAAGUAGAAUAACAAAGAGAGAAAAUGGAAUAGCUCCUGUGCUGUGACUUCCCCACAACAGGAAAUUCAAAGUGGUUAGAAUCAAAAAGGCAAUACCAGGGAAGAAACAAGCAGCCUUCCAAGCGACAGAAACCCAUCCUUUGUGAUCGCCACAGCCAAUUGUUCUCCAAAGACGAACCGCAACAUACCCAGCUGCAAUACCGAGAAGCAGGUAGAAAAAUAGCAUACCUGUAAUAAGAGUUCCACGAGAUGCUGGUGACAUAAAUCCAAGAGCAGCAAACAAUAUAGUCACAAUUGCCAUCCCGAGGAUCUGAACUCCAUCCCCAACCAUAAUACACAAAAGAGCGGGGUUGGAUGGGCCACGGAAAACAUCCCCAACAACUAGCUUCCACCCCGAUAACUCCUCAUUCAUCUGUGCCUGGGCCUCCUUGUCAAGUUCCUCAUACCGGGUCAGAUCCCGCCUAACUGUCCUUAAGAAGAUCACAAGGAC